GUUAAAUGUAACCAUGAGUUUCCGCACCCAACUUUAAUCAUCCGUCUUAUUUGAAUUUUUGUUAUAAUUAAUAUUUUUGUUGUUAUGAUAUGAUAAAACAUGAAUAAUAUUUUAUUCGUGACUUAUGUUUUUAAUUUUUUUCAAAAAAGUUUUAAAUAAGACGGACAAUUAAAGUUGGGCACGAAAAAUCAUGGCUACACUUAAA
rnacentral:pre_miRNA from 1 species